rnacentral:rRNA from 1 species
GUGGGGAAUAUUGGACAAUGGGCGAAAGCCUGAUCCAGCCAUGCCGCGUGUGUGAAGAAGGUCUUCGGAUUGUAAAGCACUUUAAGUUGGGAGGAAGGGCAGUAAGUUAAUACCUUGCUGUUUUGACGUUACCGACAGAAUAAGCACCGGCUAACUUCGUGCCAGCAGCCGCGGUAAUACGAAGGGUGCAAGCGUUAAUCGGAAUUACUGGGCGUAAAGCGCGCGUAGGUGGGUUUGUAAGUUGGAGGUGAAAUCCCCGGGCUCAACCUGGUAACUGCAUCCAAAACUGCAUGACUAGAGUACGGUAGAGGGUAGUGGAAUUUCCUGUGUAGCGGUGAAAUGCGUAGAUAUAGGAAGGAACACCAGUGGCGAAGGCGACUACCUGGACUGAUACUGACACUGAGGUGCGAAAGCGUGGGGAGCAAACAGGAUUAGAUACCCGUGUAGUCC